rnacentral:rRNA from 1 species
AUUGCCCCAGUAACGGCGAGUGAAGCGGCAACAGCUCAAAUUUGAAAUCUGGCUCUCGGGCCCGAGUUGUAAUUUGUAGAGGAUGCUUUUGGUGAGGUGCCUUCCGAGUUCCCUGGAACGGGACGCCAUAGAGGGUGAGAGCCCCGUCUGGUCGGACACCGAUCCUCUGUAAAGCUCCUUCGACGAGUCGAGUAGUUUGGGAAUGCUGCUCUAAAUGGGAGGUAUAUGUCUUCUAAAGCUAAAUACCGGCCAGAGACCGAUAGCGCACAAGUAGAGUGAUCGAAAGAUGAAAAGAACUUUGAAAAGAGAGUUAAAAAGUACGUGAAAUUGUUGAAAGGGAAGCGCUUGUGACCAGACUUGGGCUUGGUUGAUCAUCCAGGGUUCUCCCUGGUGCACUCUUCCGGCCCAGGCCAGCAUCAGUUCGCCCCGGGGGAAAAAGGCUUCGGGAAUGUGGCUCUCUCCGGGGAGUGUUAUAGCCCGUUGCGUAAUACCCUGUGGCGGACUGAGGUUCGCGCAUUCGCAAGGAUGCUGGCGUAAUGGUCAUCAGUGACCCGUCUUGAAACACGGACCAAGGAGUCGUCUUCGUAUGCGAGUGUUCGGGUGUCAAACCCCUACGCGAAAUGAAAGUGAACGCAGGUGAGAGCUUCGGCGCAUCAUCGACCGAUCCUGAUGUAUUCGGAUGGAUUUGAGUAAGAGCAUACGGGGCCGGACCCGAAAGAAGGUGAACUAUGCCUGUGUAGGGUGAAGCCAGAGGAAACUCUGGUGGAGGCUCGCAGCGGUUCUGACGUGCAAAUCGAUCGUCAAACAUGGGCAUGGGGGCGAAAGACUAAU